rnacentral:lncRNA from 1 species
GGCAUGUGUUUCCCUUAUCUUUCCCUGAGGCUGCACCCAGCAUCCAGCCAGCUCUGAGAUGAGAAUUAAGAUUGUCUCCCCAAUUUUGCAGCUGAAACCACUAAGGCUCAGAACGGUUACAGCCCUGGACUUCAAUUACCUAUCAGGAAAGAUGAAGACCUGGGGUUCCAGCAAUGUGAGGUCCUGUGCUCCCCCCUGCUGCCCCCCUGCAGGCUGGCGCAGCUCCCUCUCCCACCGCUGGCCCUCUUAGGCUGGGGAGACUGCAGGCCCAUGGAGAGGGACGCCAGGAGCAGGGAAGGAGCACACAGGGGCUCAGCCGGCCCUGUGCUGUGUUUUCCCUUGUUUCAAUAAAACAUGAUCUUCGUGCAGACAGCCCGAUGUAGUCCACUGAAUUCAUUACACCAAGAACUCUCUCUGGGCUGUUCCCACUAAACGAAAAUGUCACAGAGGCACAGAUGGUGGCAUUGAGACUCGAGCGGCACGGGGACAUGGGUGGAGAAGAGCUUCCAGGCGAUGGGGAGGGGCUUCUGAGAACAUCGCGAGGGUUGGGGUGGGGGGCGGAUCGCAAACCAAAUCCGCAUCCUUUCCGUCGCACUUAACGCUUUUCAAGGCCAGCUCGCCAAUCUUACUUCCAUUUGAUGCUUUACCAGGGUGGUCAUCCUCUCUCCGCGGGUGGCAGAACCAAAGCCCAACAAGAUUCGGUGACUCAUUCAGCGUCGCUCAGCGAGGGUGAGAUCCUGGGCGCUUACUCUCGAUUAGGCGAUUAUGCGAUGUGUUAAGUGACCAGCCUUCUCCACAGAGUUGUUUUGCAGCCACACUGCCAUCCUUCCCAUCAUAGUUCAUGAUUAAAACAUCCCCAUCUCUGAUGAAAAAUGCAUACCUGCCCGUGGCCCCGCCUUCUUGCUGCGGGCUGACACUGGUGACUGGAAUGGCCUUGAUGCUGAGUGGAAACCCACCCCUUUCAUCCUAAUUCAGGCCCCCAGAGCUUCACAGAAUACGUUUUCAGCUAAAUUCCUCUCUUGUCCGGGCUGACAUCUCUGGUUUCUUCAAUCUGUUCUUAUGGGAAGAAUUUCGACCCUGAUUGGCUUCUCUGGCCGCCUCUGGAUGUGUAUGAGCGAAAUAUCAAUCUCCAGUUCCCCAGGUGGGGUCUCAUCAGGUCAGUGCACAGGGAGGACUGAGGCUCUGAGGGGUCCUCUGGUGCUCCAGGUGGGACAGUCUCGGAAGAGGACAUGCCAUCCAUCUGCCGACUAAAAAAAUGUACAACCUGACAGUUGAGUUAAGUUUUAUUUGGGAUGAAAUUAGGACUUCAGUCUGGGAGACAGCAUCUCUGGUAGCCCUGAGAAAUGACGCCAAGGAGGUGAGGGGGGAGCUAGGAUAUAUAAGACUUUUUGCAACAAAGGGAAGGUAGUAGAAACAAAAGAUUUGCAGAAAACCAGGUUUACAGGAAAUGAUUUAGAGAAAGCCAGUUUCUGUGCGAAGAUGUACAAGGUGUGGUCCAGACUCCAUGUGAGAAACAGUGAGAUCUUGUCCUCAUAAGAGCACUUUUCCUUCAUCUGUGGAGAGCAUCUGAGUUUACGAAUUGUUUCCAUAUCCACCGUCUCAUAAUGGCCCAUGUCCCCCAGCCCGAUAUAGCAGUGAAAUCAACAUCAACCUUGGCCUGGUGAUAGAUUUUGCUAAAGUCUGGGAUCAGAAAACAGGAGGAUGUUCGAGACAGGAGCCAAAGAGAAGGCACAUGAGACAAGGUGGUUCAGAGGCCGGUGGGGAUGACAUUGCUCAGACAGGGGCUGGAAGGAGACACAAGUUGGUGUUGGAAGCAAAGCCUUUGGGAAUAGGAAUCGUAAAGAGUGAGAGGGAAGGGGGCAGAAGGAAUCCUGAGGGAUCCCAGUGCUGCUUAAAACAGAGGCUGGCCUGCCAGGUCUCUGGUUUUGUGGCCCCUGCACGUGGCACGUGGGUCAAUAAAGAGUCAGGGGUGCAGUGGCCAACAAAGCGAGGAUAUUAACCACCCUUUACAGAUGAGGAAAGGCCGAGAUUGCUGGCCAGUUGUGAAAACAGUAAUCGAUAGAACACACAUUAAAUUCUAGCCUCUGACCCCCUAAUUCUAGCCCCUUUCUAUCAUCCGUGCCAUUUCUGCAAGGACUUCAUCUUUCCUCCCAACUACAGUGACCUAGACUGGAAUAAGCUGCCUGAGCGUUAAACGCUCUAUAUGCUCAUGCUGGGCUUGAGGAUUAGGAACCUAAACCCUACGUCCUGUAUGUGGUUUUGCCUGUUAAAACGGUAACAGCUGCCUGCUAAAUGAUCUGUGUUUUUGUUUUUGCAUUUUUUGAUUCAAAGCAGAAGCCAAAUAUUUGUUUAAAUGUGCGUGUAUUUUUUGUUAGAUAACAAAUUCUAGGGAUUCUCAGCCCUUCCACUAUUGACACUUUGCACUGGACAGUUCUUUGUUGUGAAGGAUGUCCUAUGCCUUGGAGGGUGUUUAUCACACCCCUGGAUUCUGCUGGGGGCCAGUAACAACUAUGCCUUUUCUCCCCUGCCCCCUACCACGCAACCGUGACAAUCAAAAUGAAUUCAGACAUUGCCAAAUGUUCUCUAGGGGGCAAAGAUUGCCUCCUACCCCCUUCAUUGUGAAUCACUGAUCCAUUCACUUGACUGCCAUUGUUAAGAUACUGAAGGGUUAGUCUCUUAUGCCCAACUGCUCUGCUCCUCACCUGAAAUUUUGGUUUUACACUUGGCGUUUUGGGCUUUUUAUAAGAAGCCAUGCCGGUCAUUGCUGGGUGCACAUAGGCCUUGUGUAAGGAGAGCUUAGGGGAAGGACAGAUGCAGAGAAGGUGAGGGUUUCUGUGCAGCUGCCCGGGCUGAGGCCAGCUGCUCUAGACUGGGUUUGUAAACUUUGGCGAAUGUCAGCAGAAGGGGGAAAUGAGAGCAGGGUCCAAUCCUAUGCAAUUUACUCUGUCUAAAAAAACCCAAAGGAAACAAACAAGCAUCCGUUUCUCAGAGGCAGGAUGUUCCUUCUUGGCCUUGACUCUCCCAGCCUUCUCCUGUGGCUUAGCUGAAGGCCAUUAGCUUUCCAGCUACUCUGUACCUAGUAUCUUAUGUCUGCGAAGUGUCCUCCUGGGUAACAGAGGGAACGCAUGCAUGCUUUUAUUCUUUCAACAAGCCUGUACAAGUACCACUGCUUCCACUGGCAGAUGAAGAAAUAGAAUCUCCUAAGAGCCCAUAUUUCCUUUUAUUUUUU